GCCAGCGUGGCUCAGUGGUUGAGCAUUGAGCUGUGAACCAAAAGGUCUUGGUUUGAUUCCCGAUGAAGGCA
rnacentral:tRNA from 1 species